rnacentral:lncRNA from 1 species
CCCUUAACACCUUUCUUAAAAACCUAGGGACUAAUUAGCAAAAUACAAUAAAUAACCUAAACUUAGACCUAUACAAUAAGAGACUAAUAUCCAGGGGGAGAGAACAAACAGAUAGACUCUAAUCAAAAGCGCCGCUGACAUAAAAAACACCCCACCCCUGAAAUCCCGUUUUCUUCGACCCCUCCUCCACACUUCUUCUUAUUCAUCACCAUUAGAGACCCCUAGACAGAGGAGCUAAAGAAGCCUUCCUCCACAAUACACCCAAACACCCUUCCCCAUCGCUGGUCUUCUUCUUAACCAUCUGAACUUACACACACCCACGAAACCAAGGCUGAAAACAAAACAGAAACAUGGAGCAAGAGUGGACUUAGAAUUUAGUUCGAUUUUUGCUUCUAUAUGUUUCAUCAUUUUCUGGGAUUCCAUUGGUAUUUCAAGGUGUAAAGAAGAUGUGUAAAUCAAAGGCUAAAUCUAACAAUAACAGUUUGUUAUAGAGGUCGUUUGAGUUUCGAAGCUUUUGUUCCUUCUGAUUUCAAUGGAGAUGAGUUAAAUUCUACCCGUGUCGGACUUUGUUUGAGUGUUCGUCGCCGAUCAGGGUUCGUUCGCGGCUGUUAAUUUCUAUUUCUUGGUUACAGUUUGUGUUGGAUUUUCACUACCGGAUUCUUUUGUAAUUUGCCGAAGAAUUAAUUGAAAGUUUUGACAGGUUCAUCUUCUACUCCUCCUUAUUUUAUUAACAGAAGAUGUUUGUGAGUUAGUUUAUAUACUAAUCUAUGAUGCCGAUUUCUCGUGAAUUUUACUGAAUUUCUAUUUGUUUGGCGUGUUUGACUGAAGCUUGUCGAGUUAUGAGAUUGAAAAGAGUAAACUGUGCCCAAGAGUUGAAUAGUUCCAACUUAUCCGAAAGGAAGAUUAUAAAGAUAUGAAUAAUUCCUUAUGGAAAAGAUAAUGGUGUUUAGACUCAAUUGAAUGAUGUUAUGCAUAUGUGAACGUUCUGUUAGCUGAGCAAUUUAGCCUAUAUAGACUACAAUCUAGUUUUCUCCUUAUGUUGUUAGCCUUUUUCUUUGCUCUUUAUCUUAUUAUGGUGUUGAUCGAAAUACAAUGAUGUUGAGAUUUUGUUAGAUUGGAAAUGCUUAAGAGCGGGUUUAUGUGGUACCCAUAUGUGAUGCAAUUUUUGUCGUGAAUUCUGUUGUUUUCCAUUGAUUUUGGCAUAUCUUCUUUGUUCGAUUAGGUUUGUGUGCUACUGAUUCUUUCCUUGAGUUUCCCUUAUUUAAAUUAUGUUGUCGAGUUGUUACUUGUAUUUGAAGUUGAAUGAAAUAGUAAAUGGACGUUUGGUUUGGUUUGUGCUCAAAGGAAAUUGACUGAUUUCAAACAGUCAUUUUGUGGCCUCAUAUUUAGAAAUUGAUUAGUUCUAUCAAAAUUAGACCCACAAGUACAAAGUUUGAAAGGUCUUGCUGCUUUUUAUUGAUCUUCUAAAGGAUAAGUUUUAUUCCAUUGCUAAAUCGUAUGGUAGUACUAUGUGUUGGUAAUAACUGUGAAAAUAUGUUAAAGAGAUAGCACAUUAGUAUUUGUGGAAUUCGGUUGUGCUCGAUUAUUAUAGUUGAAUACAAAUCUCUACUUUAAAGAAAUUUAGGCGUGCCAUUCACACAAUUGAAUCACAUAGCAUAUGGCCCUCAUAUUAAUUUUACAACUUAGUGUAGAAAUCAAUUUGAGUUCUCGUAGUCUGCUUUAGGCGUGUUAAUUAAAUAAAGUGCCACAGCUACGGGUACGGUUCUUGUGACGUAGUUGUGAUACACAAUUCUAAAAUUUGGGGGUACAUUUAUGUGACCUGGUUACAAUUUAAUCUUGUUAAUAAAAUAAACAUGGUGUGUAUCUUGGGUACGGCUCCCGUGACAUGAUUCACGACAUGUAGUCAAAUAAUUAGCUGUAUAACAAUCAGAUUAUUAAAAGCGGUUUUAAAAGGUAUAAAAUGCACAUAGGUUUCAAAGAUGUUUUUAAAAUCAAAUAAAUAGGCCAAUAAUAAUAGUUGAGCGACCGUGCUAGAACCACGGAGCCCGGGAAUGCCUAACACCUUCUCCCGGGUUAACAGAAUUCCUUACCCGUAUUUCUAUGUUCGCAGACCAUAAAACAAAGUCAAUCUUUCCUCAAUUCAGGAUUUAAAAUUGGUGACUUGGGACACCAUAAAUUAUCCCAAGUGGCGACUCUGAAUUUUAAAUAAAACAAUCCCGUUUCGAUUGUCACUUGAAUUGAAAAAACUCCCUUUUAUCCUUUUAGGGGUAGGAAAAAGGAGGUGUGACAGACCCUUAUUACUCUGCCUUGUAGUAUUGGAUGGAGAAUUCGGUUGUGUUAUGUGGCAGCAUGAUGAAACGGGGAGGAAGGAGCAGGCCAUUUAUUACCUCAGUAAGAAGUUCACCCCG